UCUCUCUUCAUUCAUAUUCUUCAUCUUCCUCAUCUUCUUGUUUCUGUAACUUUUAUUGUUGGUUUCUAAAGUUUCUCAUCUCUCUUUUAGAUCUGGUAUCUUUCUCAUUCCGGUAUCCUUCUCUUUUGAUGUUCUUGUUCUUUUUUUCUCCUUCUGUUUAUAAAAAACUUUUGCUGCUGUGAAGAACCCUAACGGUUACAGAAUCCAUAUAUCCCUCAGAUUUGUGUAGCUAUGAAUUCUCUUUUGUUGUGAUCCCAUCAAUGACCGCUCAAACUCUGACGGAAGUAGGGGUGACCCCUAGAACGAGUAAAAACUUGUAUAGGCUACUGUAAUUCUUUUAAAAAAAAAGUAUUUAGCCCAGGUAAGAAUUUUAGAUUAGCCCAAUGUGUUAGUAUUAAUGUGUUUCCCUAUCGUAUCCAGUAUUCAUACUCUUUUACCCAAAUGGAGCGUCGAAAGAAUUCCCUGCCCUGCUCAAUCUCAAAGUUACCUUGUACGACAUUGAAUUAAGAAGAAUGUAGCACUUGGAAGGAACUAGAGUGCGGUUGUAUAUUUCCUGAGCAAUAUAUUAGUUCUAUAAAGUGUCUCACUACUUCUCAUGCUGCGGCUAAACCUGAGAAUGUUUGUUCUGUUGCCUAAAGAUCUGGAAAUCAUAAGUGGCUGUUCUCUUUCUCUUUGAGAGAUAAUUGCCGUUUCUUGUAGUCUAUAGCAAAGAGAUUUACGUUUGUCCACUGUACUCUUUUUCCUUUUUGGUAAGGAAAAACUGUGCUAAGAAAUUUUCUCUUUUUAUAACAAUCUUAAUGGACAGUGAUCUUUUGCAAUUAAAUUGUCUCAGCUUCUCAUAUCUAAACCUUGUAAUCUUUACUUCUUUCCUCGUAAGCAGUUUAAUGAACGGCACUUGAUAUGGUCUUCGUUUACGUUGUUAUCCAUUACACUUUUCUAGCCCUUUUAAGUUGUUCUACUUCACUAACAGUGGAUAUUUGCUUGGUGAAUUUUCAGGGGUGUAGCAGUUGGUUCAUUUUCUGGUCGCCUCCAAGCGUGGUAGUGGUCAUCUAAUGUUCCUUUAUUUCUCAUUUAUGUUUCUUCUUCUAUUGAGGUUAGAGUUCGGGACGAUCAAGAACUCAAGCUCUGUUGUUGCAAGUUCUCUAUUCUUUUCCUUGCCACUAUCAUAUUCUCUUUUCAAUUUCAUGGUUCGUCUACUGUUACAAACUUUUUUUGGCUCCCCAGACAUAAAUUCCUAGUUCCGUUGCUGGUUUCUUGGUACUGUUUAAUUCUAAUUCUAACGAGUACCAAUACAUUAAGUGCUGCAAACAGGAGGGCAGGAGGGAUGUUUCUGAUCUUCAUCAAAGAAACAUGAAAGAAACCGAAAGGCCUACACCUUUAUAAAAAAAAGAUAAGUUGCGGAUGGAACACUUGUUAUCAUGAUUUUUAUUAUGAAUCAAGCAAGGUAUGUAUUCGAACUAACUUUUGUUGUGCUUUGAUAUGGAAGAGCUUUGAUGAGCUUUUACCGUUAAGUGUUAAAUUAUUACGGAGGAACACCUAGUGUUCUUGUUUAUGCUUGAACUCACCUUAUCAAUUAUCAAAUCAGUAACGUGGUCUUUGUUAGGCUAUUGUUUCUCAACCAUAUGGAGUAAGACAUCAAUUUGUCCAGGAGACCAGUUUUGUUGAUUGCAUGAUGAUCUCCCCUUAAAAAACACUGCUGCGUGUAAAUGAGUUGCUCUACCAACUAAGCUAUAGCCCUUGUGAUAGAUAGUUUAUAUCAUGGAAAUAACUUCUUGUCAAGAUUAAUCUUCUUCGAUCCAACAUGACAGCAUCUAAUCUGUUUCCUGCCAAGAAUCUGUAUUGCUUAAAAAUAAGAUUGCAUCUAUAGCUCAUCACUCUCCAUUGGAUAAACAACUUGUAGGAAGGGAUGUGAACCCCAGAUAUGCAAAUCAAGUUGAGACCAAAUUGCUAAAUGUUAGAAUUUCAAUGAUGAUACGAUUUUAGUUUUAUUGCCACAAUAAAAUAUCUUCUGUUCUUUUUGUACAUUGUAUCAUUCAUGUGAAGAAAAUGUUAUGCCCUGUGUAUUUGGUAAUAAAGGAUCUCCUGGUGUUAUUGUUUAGAUAAUUGUAGUAUUUUUGGAAUGUUUAAGUUUAUCAUCGGUGCUUAGGAGUAUAAAUCUUGAUAACUACUAAAUGAGAUCGCCUGGAAUUUUUAUGUAUCUUGUAAUUUUAAAUUUUGCGUGGAGUUGAUACAAUAUUUCUCGUCUUGAAGGUGUUCUUUGAAACCAGAUGAUAUACAACUUUCUGGUACUGUCAAUUGUUUCCAUGGUAUAUUCUAGUAUUCACAGAAUUUUAGCACAAUUAUAGACAAAUAAUCAAGUGCCUCUUUUGAACAACAUUGGCUAAGUGGAAUCAUGGUACUAAGUAAUUAUAUAUUAGUGUGAAAUUAGUUUUAUGAAAGUGAAAGCAUGUUGAUUCAUGAUGUGCACAGUGAUAUUUUUGGACGAGUCCGUGCAUUUUGUUUCUUGUGAGUUUCCUGUUAAAUUUACUUAUCUUCAAGGGGCAGCCUAUUAUUACCGUUACCGAGGCAAAGUGGUUGUUUAUUCGGCAAAACAAACUGGAUCUUGUAAAGUUGGUGCAAGGUUUGCUACAAUCUAUUCAAGAUGGCAUGGUUUUGGCUAUUGGGUUUGGUGUUCUCUGGAGAACUUGUCAAGGGGUCCCUCUCUUCUUUGGUGCACCAAAAUUUGUGGAUUAGAAUACUUUUUGAACUUCACAAGUCAAAUUUGUUUUUGAAGAAAUUGGUUUGUUUGUGCCUGACCUUAGCUUUGCAACUUGAUAGAAAUGUGUAGUCGAGACUUUGUGAAAUGCAGGUCGAUCAUUUGUUUAUAA